UUUUACAUAAAAAGAAAAAAAAAAGGAAAAAUAAUUUCAAAGAAGUAGUUUGACCAGAGAGAGGCGACUGCUUAUAAAAAGGUAGCUGGAUCAUGAUCGCUGCCCUGCAGGAAGCUGUGAGCACGGUGAAGGGCAGGCUCCGUGCUCAGACAGGCUCCCUGGCUUCCCACCAACCUCAACUUAGCACUAAAGCUGCCUGCGAGGCAUCAGUUUGAGAGUUUUACACACUUCAAAGAGUGGACACGACCGGGACAGCUUGUGUGAAAGAGAAGGAACAGGAAAGCGUGACAUCCAGAAGGCAUCAAGACUGUGCCAUCCAAGCUGUCCCAAACACCUCCUGUGACAAUGCCACGUGCCACACGCCGUGCCCACGGAGGAGGAAAGGGAGAUUUCUGAAUGAGGAGUGCAGGUACUCAAAUAUUAACUUUCAAACCCAUCAGGAUCCCACAGACGAAGUCGGCAGGAAACGAAUUGGUAUUGAUUUCAGCCCUGCUUUGGUCUGUUGCAUGAAAAAAAGAGGAAAACAUAAUUGUCUUUUUGCUUGCACAUCUGUCCAGACAUACCAGGCUCAUGCCUCCUCCAUCAGCAGCUCCACAUCGUGUCUACUCACCUCUGCCUUCAUGCUGGCAGCUGAAGCAGUUUCCACUGGGAGAUUUUGGUUUUCCUGAGAGACUUCAGCUCCCAGUUUGUCAGCAACAUGAACUGGGACAGAAAAAAAUAUAAUCCUUCAGAGUGGGGAGAUCCUGAAGCGGAGCAGCACCAAACAUCUGAAUCUUCCUGAGUCUCUUCCAGGGUCUGAGCUCUGCUGAGAUCUUGUCUCAGCUAUGUUCUGCUCUAUCAAAUUCACUUCCUUCCCUGCCACUUCAGAGUUAAGCCCCUUCCCCAAAAUUCAGGCUGUUUGGCAUUGAUUCCUGCAGCUGAAGAGAGCUCCUUCAGCAGUGGAAUCUGCCCGAGAGGCACUGGGAAUGGUCAAUUGGCUCCUGCUGACUUGCUUGGAAGUCCAGUAUAAGGAUGCACAGGGAGGCAGUGGAUGUGGUGAGAGAAUGUGCAGCGCUGAGGGCGACGUCUGAGGCAGUGAGAAUCCUCUGCUCUGUUAACAAUGAUUGUUACAAGUGCAGCAUCAAGGAGAGAUGCUUGAUGACUGAAUGCUCAGAACAGAAAUGCAGCAUCCAUCAACACUUGAGUCAAGUGAAAGUGUGAGAAAAAAUGAGAAGGAGAAAUCAAGGCACAAGUGUUAUUGUUCACUUUUGAUUCUGAAGCAGUGUCAUUGCUCAGAGAGCUCCCACCUGCUAAUGAAGAACCCUCUUAUACCAAGAUUUUCAGACUGGAAGGAAAAAUUGAGUGCUUAACUCUGAUCAGGGUGUCAGGAGUAGACAAUUGCUAUUGCAAAAAAAAUGAUGGCAAUCUUCUUUUUUAUGCCUGUCUAAUACAUACUGUCCAAGCACUUCUAUGGAGAGACCAUCCAUCAGCAUCACAGAAUCUGAACCAGAAUUCAUUUCAUGAUUGCUUUAAAACUGCCUGGGACAUGAUACUAAAGCCACCUCUGCUGUAAAACUGCCCUUCUGACUUCUAUGGGCUCAGACAUGAAGAGAUUCACCGAGGACUUUUAUCUCAGUGUGAAUCAAGGGUUACUUAACAAACCUGAGCAUCUGCAGGGGCUGGUGAGGCUCCUCUGACAGAGCUCUUCUGCUGAACAGAGCAGUGCAGACAGUCUGAACUGAUGCUGGAACAAGAACUGUGCCCUUUAGGAACUGGAUGGGUAAGGAAAGCACUGUUACCUCUCCAAGAGAACUUCAUAGCCUUAAGUUGCAUCAGCCUGCUGCCUCAUGUGGAUUUUAUUGUGUUGCAACCUGUUGUGAAUUAGAUCACAUCCAGCAUCAGAGGCUUGUGGGUGUAGCUACUCCUGGUGUGUUUAAUCCUGAUGUCAAAGGUAUGUAUACUAAGUGGGACCCAUGGCUCUGGAGGAGGGAUCACAAUGUAUUUUUUCAGCCAAAUGCUGGAGUGUCUGUUUGCAAAAAAGGUUAAUGGAUAGCAGAAUUGUAUUUACUUUUUAUCAAUGGUCUUGUCAUUUUAAAUUGCUCAGUAUUAAGUGAUAGGUGAAGUGCCAUAAUAGGCUUUUAAACUUAAUGUUUGUGAUAACUUGUGUAGCAUCGGCAACAACCUAUUGGUGAAAAAUAAGAUUUAACUCCUCUAAGUUCACCUUUUGCUCUGGCAUUUACAUGAUUCCUUGGCCAGCAGGAAUCUUUGCUGAUGGUUGAUCACUCUAAAUUUUUGCUUAAUUGUUUUUCCUAUGUACCUGUGCAGCAGUCCUUGUUUCUGCCUGUUUCAGCCUCCUUUUUGAGAAAUAAGAUUUAGCAGAGAUGCACAUUUACAAUUUCUCAGCUUCCCAUGUGAAUAAAUUCUUUAACAGUAGAUUGGCCAAGGGCUGAUUCAGAGCCCUGUAGCAUCUCUGAAGGGUCAUGGAAUCACAGACAGGUUUGGGUUGGAAAGGACCUUAAAGAUCAUCCAGUUCCAAUGGGCAGGGACACCUCCCACUAGAUAAGGCUGUUCCAAGAUCUAUCCAACCCAGCCUUGGACACUUCCAAGGAAUGGAAGUCACUUCCAAGACAGUUCCUAAGAUGGGGCAGCCACAGCUUCUCUGGGUGAUUUUUUCCAAUGACUCACCACCCCCACGUCAAGAAUUUCUUCCCAAAUCCCACCUGACUUUGCCCUCUGUCACUACAAAGCCACUCACUCUCGCCAUGCCAUUCCAGACCCUUGUCCAAAGUCCCUCUCCAGCUCUCUUGGAGCCCCUUUAGGCACUGGAAGGACUCUGAGCUCUCCCUGGAGCGUUCCCUUGUCAGGCUGAGUACUCUCAGCUCCCUCAGCCCUCAUAGCACCCUGAUGGCCUCACCUGGACCUGCUCCAGCAGAUCCACAGCCUCCUGACGUGGGAGCCCCAGCGCUGGAUGCAGCACUGCAGGUGGGGUCUCACAAGAGUGCAGGAGGGAGGGAGAACCACCUCCACCAUCCUGCUGGUCACGCUGCUGGUGAUGCAGCCCAGGACAAAGUCAGAUAUUUCAAACAUAUUUUACCUGCUCAUGUUGAACUUCUUGUCAAUCAACACCGGCAAAUCUCUCUGCUGGAUUAUUGCUUCCUAAUAAAUACUGUUGUUCAUAGCACUUCAAAGAGGCGUAGAAAAGUAAACAAGAAUAAUUGGAAAUCUCAUGUUAGUGUUGGAUGUGCUGGUUAAUGCCAUGAAAGUAAGAUAAUAUGCUGUGAUGGAGGAAAAACACACUCCCCUCACAUUUUCCUGUUCUGUGGAGAGAUCAACAGCCCAGUAAGGGAUUCUCAGUAAAUAGCUCAUAAUGUGACCAAACUAGCAACAGCUAAGUAUGCACUGGGACUUUUUCUCCAUGGAUGUACAUGUAAAAGUUGAAGUCCUGCUCCAUGACUCAGAAGUUUUUUUUCCUAAUUGGAGAUAAUUGUCACAAAAAUAAUUCAUGUUCACUACCUGGUUUCACUCCAUUAUGCUGCAUAGCUCUAAAGGACACCUUUGCAAUAUCCUUGGUGCCUGAUCUCAAUUUUGAUUCUCAAUUAGCUCAUGCCUAGAAUGAAAAGUCAACUGUUUAAAAAUCUGAUAUAACUAUAAAUGAGUGACUUAUAAUAACAUAUUAAUUUUUAAAAUCGUGUCAUGCCAUGAACUGUUGACUAAUUUCUGAACCUUAUUCAGUUGUCAUAGAGCUGAGAUGGAGAUGAAUACACUCCCUGGCUGGAAGGUUAGCAUCUUAAUUUUUUUGGGUCAGCCAAGUUACUUUCUCACUGAAAAAGAGAUAAGAUAUGUGAGUAAUUGUAAUAGGAGUGUGACUGCAUAAAUUCUUAUUUUAUAAUAGAUUCCACUUUCCAAACCCUGAUUCAAUUCUUUGUAACUUUCUAGAACUUCUCCAAAUCACUUUUACCAAAAGUUGUCUCUGCCAAAAAAUGAAUUAUUUCAAUAGCUCACAGAUUUGGGGGGAAUAUGACAAUUUUUAUCUCUGGUUUGUUUUUUCUCAUUCUAGAGUCUUUUCAUAACAACACUGUAAGCACCAAACCCUGCUGUUCUCAUGGCAUGACAUCUUUCAGGGUCCUAAUUGUUAAUUAAGCAAUACUUAAAUAAUCAAAAGGUUUUUCCCAUUAAUCUCAGUCUGUUUCAAUUUUCCAGCAUGUUUCAAAUUAUAACAAGCAUUUUGAUUUUCUGGAUUAAAACCAGGAGUUCUAGAUUGCUAUUUCCUGUCAUGAAAGUCUUUCUUCACACCAGCUCAUUUAAAAUUUCUUGAAUUUCAGCUAAUUUCAGACAGGUACUUACUGAGCUUCAUAGCUCAGCUCUUCCUGCUGUGCUCAAAGUUUAACAUCAGUCAUGCAGAAGUACCACAAACACACCCUACUGAGGUUCUGUGGUAUGAGAAAGAGUUGGCGUCUAGGAAUAGCUAAGGGGAAAAAAAAUAAAGCAAGUAGAUUUUAAUUUUAUUGAAAAAUACCUAAUGAAAAAUUUGCAGGUGAAAAAGAUCAGAGCAUGGCUGAGAUUGUUGCUGGCUCCAGGUCUUCCUUUCAGGUCUUAGGCAAAACUUAGGAUCCUGGUCUGUCUCAGACUAAGAUAAAGUGAAAAUUCUCCCCUCUCACAUCUGACACAGCAUCACUACAUUCUUUGAUCCUUCACAAGAAUCUUGACUUUUAACACUGUAUUUUCCUGCCUUACUUUCAUCCCAUCACUUCAAAUUAUGGCCAGCUUUUAUAUACAAUUUUAGAAAAGAGAAGGGAAGGAAAGAAAUAAUGAAUUAUUAAAGAAGAAUGAAAAGAUGAAAGAGGAAAAGAGAAAUUGAACUUCAGAGGGAAGAGGAGGGAGGGCAGGGCUUAAGGAGAAAUGGUAACUUAAAUCCAAAGAAAAGGAUGCAAAUUCAAUUCUCUGAUGGCUUUUCACUUCACCCUUCACAAAGGUGUGUUUCUUUCUUCAGCAAACUCCUCUUAGAAGGGGCCCAGGGAAGAUUUUGUUUAACAGAUAAACUUUGAUACUACUUACUGAAGAAAUAGUACCUGUGGGUUAUUCUGUUACCUUUUUAUCUAUAGGUUAUCUUCUUUUGCAUUAAGCAAAUACAAGAGAGGGGUAGUGUUUUAUUCCCCAUCUGAAUUUACACAAGGUAGAGAUUUUUAUCCUGAGGAGUAUUAUGUUCAGACUUUAGGGAGGUAAAAGUCUAUCUAGUUGCCUCUCACUAUUUUUUAAUCUUUUUCAACAAAAAACCCUCUCCUGAUCAGUAGUAGUUCCUGAAAGUCUCCUAAGUAAGAUCACAGGUUUGAUGUUUAUGCAGAUGAGAGUGCAAACAGCAGAACAGAGUGAAAGAGAAACUUUGGCCAAAAAAGCAGGAGCUCUCUCAAGGACAGCUGUACCCCUUUCAGAAGUUUUUGCACCUGUAACUAAAGGUGCCAGGCUGGGAAUGCUUGUGGUGCUGUUGUACUUUUACACAACAUGGUCCCUAUGAACCACACAAUUACACUCUGCCUGAGGUGUUGAUUUGGGUAGGACUGAGCCUUCCAAAAAUCUAAUAAUAUCUCAUUGAAAUUAUGUAAGUAAAAAUCUUUGCUUCUGUGUGUAUCUCAGAGUGAUGUGGGAAAUCUGUUCCCACCUAUUCACAGUUAGAAAAAUCUGGGUGAAAUGUGUGUGUAGCUAAGGUGAUAUUAUUACAAUCUUCAAUGCGAAUGCAGAAUUCAGCAGUCUGCAUGAAAUUUCAAAAUGCUUUCUGUCUGCUGAAAGGUCAAACUAAAUCUAAGUCUAGAGCAUUGUACUAUACAAAAAAAAUACUUAAACUCAUUAAAAAUUCAAGUGAUAUCCAUAAAUUGCUUAAAAAAAUAAUCAAUGUCUGCCAAGAGUGGAAGCCACAGAUGUAACAAAAGAUGUUGAAACUAGUUAAAAAGAUAUGACUUUGUGUUUAUAUGAGGGUUUAGAUAAAACAUUGAUAACUUACUAACUUCAUGAUGUUUUUCGAUUGCCCUUCAUGCUCUUUUCCAAAAGUUAUUCAUUUUCAAUCUUGGCAGUUUGGACCCAUUAAAUAGCAUGACAAAGUUAUGUUUCUUGAAUGACAAAAUGGAUAUAAAAAAUUCCUUAAUAGUUUAUUUUGCAUCAGCUUUUACUAAGAAUAUAUGGUAACACAGGAAGUCGUGUUGGAAAGGGGCUGCUCAGACGUCUGGUUUUCAAUCUCUUAAGCAGCAAUGCCCUCC